rnacentral:lncRNA from 1 species
GUGUCUGUAUAUAUAUAGUUGUCAUGGAAGAUUCUAGAACAGUCUAUAAUGGAACAUCCUAGAAAGUUACAACGGAAGUUUCUAGUAAAAUGUAGAAGUUUAUAUAACGCAUCUUUUAUUAGGAUCAUUCUGGAAAGUUCCAAUCAUUCUGUAAUUGUUCCAGUGAUUUCUAAACUGCACAGUUCUAAGAUUAUUCUGUAAACAACUAUCAGGCCACACAACACAAAUCAGAC